GAUGAACGCUGGCGGCGUGCCUAAUACAUGCAAGUCGAGCGAACAGACGAGGAGCUUGCUCCUCUGACGUUAGCGGCGGACGGGUGAGUAACACGUGGAUAACCUACCUAUAAGACUUGGAUAACUUCGGGAAACCGGAGCUAAUACCGGAUAAUAUCUUGAACCGCAUGGUUCAAUAGUGAAAGACGGUUUUGCUGUCACUUAUAGAUGGAUCCGCGCCGCAUUAGCUAGUUGGUAAGGUAACGGCUUACCAAGGCAACGAUGCGUAGCCGACCUGAGAGGGUGAUCGGCCACACUGGAACUGAGACACGGUCCAGACUCCUACGGGAGGCAGCAGUAGGGAAUCUUCCGCAAUGGGCGAAAGCUUGACGGAGCAAAGCCGCGUGAGUGAUGAAGGUCUUCGGAUCGUAAAACUCUGUUAUUAGGGAAGAACAAAUGUGUAAGUAACUAUGCACGUCUUGACGGUACCUAAUCAGAAAGCCACGGCUAACUACGUG
rnacentral:rRNA from 1 species